rnacentral:rRNA from 1 species
UACGGGGGGUGCGAGCGUUGUCCGGAAUCACUGGGCGUAAAGGGCGCGUAGGUGGCUUUGUAAGUUUGCGGUGAAAGCCCGGGGCUCAACCCCGGGUCUGCCGUGGAUACUGCAAGGCUUGAGUACUGUAGAGGCAGGUAGAAUAUCGGGUGUAGCGGUGGAAUGCGUAGAGAUCCGAUAGAAGACCGGUGGCGAAGGCGGCCUGCUGGACCUCUUCUGACGCUGAGGCGCGAAAGCUAGGGGAGCAAACGGG